rnacentral:rRNA from 1 species
UACCAGCACCCCGAGUGGUCGGGACGUUUAUUGGGCCUAAAGCAUCCGUAGCCGGUUCUACAAGUCUUCCGUUAAAUCCAGCUGCUUAACAGAUGGGCUGCGGAAGAUACUAUGGAGCUAGGAGGCGGGAGAGGCAAGCGGUACUCGAUGGGUAGGGGUAAAAUCCGUUGAUCCAUUGAAGACCACCAGUGGCGAAGGCGGCUUGCCAGAACGCGCUCGACGGUGAGGGAUGAAGGCUGGGGGGAGCAAACCGG